AUUCAUAUCAUGACCCAUCCACUUUUUUAUAUGUUCACCACAACACAUAUAUCGUCAGUUCCUCCGCAUCGCAUCCUCCUCCCAAAAAAACCGCAUCUCUGAUCUGGAUUGCUAGGCAGCGGUAUUUUGAUCUGGAUUGCUAGGUGCCGGUGCCAGCAGUGGGGAAUCACCAUCUGCCCAACGUUGGUCCGUAGGAGUGCCUAGGGGCGGGGGUGGCGACGAUGGCGAGACCCUAUCAGUGCUGAUCCGGAGGAGUGCCUAGGGGCAGCGUUGGCAACGACGGCGAGACGCUGCCAGUGCUGAUCCGGAGGAGUGCCUCAAGGCGGCGGCGGCGAGACCUUGCCAGCACUGAUCCGGAGGAGUGCCUGGGGUGGCAGCGGUGCCAUACCAGGAGCAGCGGCAUCGUGGAUCUUGUGAACAACCCUUCAUCGUCUGCCACAUCCUGUGUAUCAGCAACACAGCAACAUGGGUUCGCCGUAAUCCCAGGUAACGUCGGAGGAUACUGAUAGCAUCAACUAUUCUGGGCCCUUCUUCUACAGAUCUAAGCUGUGUGGUAAGUUCAAUCCCUCUGUACCCAAUGCUCUCUUGUCAUAGAAGUUCACUAGUGUUCUUAACAAAAUAGGGUCUUGCAAUUUGUAGAAAAAAGUUGCCAGGCAGUGUAUCAAAGACUUUUGCAACCAGUUUACAUGCCAAACGACAAAUGCCUAGUUGAGUGGGUUCACUUCUAUACUUUUUGACUGAAUUCUAUGACAACGUAAGUUGUUUUUCAUACUAACAAUUUACUGUACAUCGAAUUUUGAAAUGUGCCAACAGGCAGAAUAAAAAUAAUCCAAAUUAUAUUGGCUCACCAAAAAUUUAUUUUGACCUAUUAUGUUUCUGGGUUUGCAUUAAACAAUUUGACUUAUUGGGAUGCCAAAUCAGGUGAAUAAAGUAGGUUCACUUCUAGCAUUCGUCAUUUUGUGUGUGUUAGUACUCUUUAUUUUUACUCGAGUUCAGUUCUUGGCAACCUAAACCAACAGUGUGUAGUUUUAUCGACGAUUAGAUCCUGAUUUAGUUCAUUUUCUUUUAUUUUAGGAUUACCAUGGAGCUGUAAGGAUCUGAUGGAAAUUUGAUUUAACACGCAAGACCUGUCCAGACAGUGUAUAUAUAUAUAUUGCAAUUGUUGUGGUUUUGCACAAAGGAGAUUGCAGCAGGUUUUGAUGUGGCUGCCUAGCAGAAACUGGCCAAAGGUGAGUGCUUGAUUACUCAACUCUGAUUCAGAUAUUGUACUUGUGCAAACUAGGGCAUAUAUCUCAUGAACUCCAACAUUACUAUUGAUGGAACUGGGCAUAUAUCACAGUUUUGACGAGGCUAUUUUAAAUCUACAAAAGAGACAACGGAGAAGAUCUUGGCAUCAGAAGGAACUAUUAUUGGUGAAAAGUCUUUAGCAAAACUGUACAAGAUAUAGAUGCGGAGUGGAUAUUUGAAGAAAAUUUAGGCCUUCCUUACAUUGUAGUUUGGAAAUGGAUAAUAAUGUACACUGUAAGCAUUCUAGGACAAGCAGACAUGUGUUAGUUGUCAGGUUUUUCCUUCUGUAUGUUAUUGACAUGAUUGCUUGUCAAAGCACUGUCUUUGUAUUUUUCAGUGUUAUUUAUAUGGAAAAUAUAACCGAGCGAAAUUUUGCACGAGCAAAA